rnacentral:rRNA from 1 species
AUUGGAUGAGCCCGCGGCCUAUCAGCUUGUUGGUGAGGUAACGGCUCACCAAGGCGACGACGGGUAGCCGGCCUGAGAGGGCGACCGGCCACACUGGGACUGAGACACGGCCCAGACUCCUACGGGAGGCAGCAGUGGGGAAUAUUGCGCAAUGGGCGAAAGCCUGACGCAGCAACGCCGCGUGAGGGAUGACGGCCUUCGGGUUGUAAACCUCUUUCAGCAGGGAAGAAGCGAAAGUGACGGUACCUGCAGAAGAAGCACCGGCUAACUACGUGCCAGCAGCCGCGGCCGAAU